rnacentral:rRNA from 1 species
AGGGCACCACCAGGAGUGGAGCCUGCGGCUUAAUUUGACUCAACGCGGGAAAACUCACCCGGCCCGGACACCGUAAGGAUUGACAGAUUGAUAGCUCUUUCUUGAUUCGGUGGAUGGUGGUGCAUGGCCGUUCUUAGUUGGUGGAGCGAUUUGUCUGGUUAAUUCCGAUAACGAACGAGACUCUGGCCUACUAAAUAGUGGUCGAAUUUUUAGUUCGACGUACUUCUUAGAGGGACAAGGGGUAUCUAGCCCCACGAGAUUGAGCAAUAACAGGUCUGUGAUGCCCUUAGAUGUCCGGGGCUGCACGCGCGCUACACUGAAGGAGUCAACAUGCACACUAACCUAGUCUGGAAAGACCGGGUAACCCAAUGAAACUCCUUCGUGAUUGGGAUAGGGAAUUGUAAUUAUUUCCCUUGAACGAGGAAUUCCUAGUAAAUGCGGGUCGUCAUCUCGCGUUGAUUGCGUCCCUGCCCUUCGUACACACCGCCCGUCGCUACUACCGAUUGGAUGUUUCCGUGA